ACGGCCGCCGUGCCAUGUCUUCCAGAGGUCUGGUCGCUGCAACAAAGAGCAUUGCUCCUAUUCCCAUACGCCAGGAGACGAGGGAUAUUCACAGAGAAACGAUCGCCACUUUGAUAGGCGGCCUUCGAGCAACGAGAGACCUCAGCAUGACAGGCGGCCUUCGAGCAACGAGAGACCUCAGCAUGACAGGCGGCCUUCGAGCAACGAGAGACCUCAGCAUGACAGGCGGCCUUCGAGCAACGAGAGACCUCAGCAUGACAGGCAAAACGAUAAACAUUUUGAUCGUCAAGUGUCAGGCAGCGAGAGGCAGCAGGAUAGGCCCAACAGCAGGCAGAGCGGCUGGGAUGGCUGGGAUAACGGUGGGAAGGCUGAUAGGUCAGAAUCAAAAGAGGGGCAGUAGAACCAUGGGGGCUUCUUCUUCUGGUCCGUUCUCCUGUUUUGUUGUAUGCAGUAGCUAGCCUGCGUGUUUCUGAACCUACCUACCUGAUGCGCUGUAGCGAUUAGCAUCCUGCCCAAACUGUCAUGUGAUAGAAGAAUUGUAGCUUAAAGCAUCAUGUGCAUCCUACUCUUGUGUUUUCUUUCUUGCCUUGGAACCAAACCAAUACAUUUUCUGAAUAAAUCCUGAUGUCGGAGAUGCAAGGGCUUGAGGUAGGUCCUGUUGUAAUGUUGCUUGAGCUGCUGCUGCUGUGUCUGUAUGCAUUCUCGUUGGGUG
rnacentral:lncRNA from 1 species